CAAUAGCGUAUAUUAAUGUUGUUGCAGUUAAAAAGCUCGUAGUUGGAUUUCUGCGCCGCGCAGCUGGGUCCGCCGCACUGCGGUGCGACCGAGGUGGAGCGUCGCAUCCUUGUGGAGACUGUUUCGGCCAUUAAUUUGGUCCGUUUCAGGAACCGCAUCGUUUACUGUGAAAAAAUUAGAGUGUUCAAAGCAGGCUUAUGCCGUGAAUACAUUAGCAUGGAAUAAUAAGAUAGGACUUUGGUUCUAUUUUGUUGGUUGGAGGCCAAGGUAAUGAUUAAUAGGGAUAGUUGGGGGUAUUCAUAUUUAAUUGUCAGAGGUGAAAUUCUUGGAUUUAUGAAAGAUGAACUUAUGCGAAAGCAUUUACCAAGGAUGUUUUCAUUAA
rnacentral:rRNA from 1 species